rnacentral:misc_RNA from 1 species
UUCUCCAAGUCCGAGUAUGAAGAGCAUGGUGCUUCUUAUGUGCAAAGAAAAUGUCCUUGAUAGCUUACUUAUGACAUGAGGCUGUAUCUGAUUUUUCUGGUGGAUAAGCUGUAAAAAAAAAAAAAAAAACUGCAUUGCAUCAACUCUCAUUUUGGGAUCUUAGGUAUGAAAGUAAUAUGUAUGCCAUAACACCAACAUUUUGGGGCACAUAUUCAUGUAGCCUUUAAUCUAAUUUCAGGCCUCCAGGCCUCAUCACAAAGCUUUCUUUUUACAAUGUAUUAUUGUUUGUCUAACUUGGAUUACCUUUUAUAUUAUUCUGUAGCCAAUUGUUUGACCCUGUAGCAUAGGUUUGUACCCAUUUGAAUAUAUAUAAGGCUGGA